UCAUUUAAUGAUACCUAAAAUCCUAUGUGGAAUGCCUUAGAGAUUGACACAUGUCAUUUUUUGCUAUUUACUGUUGCUCAUUUGUGUAGUUUAAAAGAUUGGUGAAAUAUCUGGAAUGUAGGUAAAAUUGUUGUUGGGUACUAAACUUGGUAUUUUAAUUAAUGGUUAAUUUUGAUCGUGAUUGUUCAUGUUUUGUUGUGAAUUCAUACUAAAAUCACAG
rnacentral:lncRNA from 1 species